rnacentral:rRNA from 1 species
CCUACGGGUGGCUGCAGUGGGGAAUAUUGCACAAUGGGCGCAAGCCUGAUGCAGCCAUGCCGCGUGUGUGAAGAAGGCCUUCGGGUUGUAAAGCACUUUCAGCGGGGAGGAAGGCGGUGAGGUUAAUAACCUCAUCGAUUGACGUUACCCGCAGAAGAAGCACCGGCUAACUCCGUGCCAGCAGCCGCGGUAAUACGGAGGGUGCAAGCGUUAAUCGGAAUUACUGGGCGUAAAGCGCACGCAGGCGGUCUGUCAAGUCGGAUGUGAAAUCCCCGGGCUCAACCUGGGAACUGCAUUCGAAACUGGCAGGCUAGAGUCUUGUAGAGGGGGGUAGAAUUCCAGGUGUAGCGGUGAAAUGCGUAGAGAUCUGGAGGAAUACCGGUGGCGAAGGCGGCCCCCUGGACAAAGACUGACGCUCAGGUGCGAAAGCGUGGGGAGUAAACAGGAUUAGAUACCCGUGUAGUC